CAAUGGGCGCAAGCCUGAUGCAGCCAUGCCGCGUGUAUGAAGAAGGCCUUCGGGUUGUAAAGUACUUUCAGCGGGGAGGAAGGUGUUGUGGUUAAUAACCGCAGCAAUUGACGUUACCCGCAGAAGAAGCACCGGCUAACUCCGUGCCAGCAGCCGCGGUAAUACGGAGGGUGCAAGCGUUAAUCGGAAUUACUGGGCGUA
rnacentral:rRNA from 1 species